GUGAAAUACCCAUUUGUACCGCAGACAGUAGGGGCGCUAGUCGCUUAAUUUAGCCCUGCCGAGGACAUGAUGAAUUCAGUAAACAUCUUUUUGAUGCUGAUUUUAUGCCUCUGUGUCUGUAAUGGACCAGAGGCUUUUCUUAUGGACGG
rfam:Planococcus sp. PAMC 21323, complete genome.